UACGUAGGGUGCGAGCGUUGUCCGGAAUUACUGGGCGUAAAGAGCUCGUAGGUGGUUUGUCACGUCGUCUGUGAAAUUCCGGGGCUUAACCUCGGGCGUGCAGGCGAUACGGGCAAUACUUGAGUGCUGUAGGGGAGACUGGAAUUCCUGGUGUAGCGGUGGAAUGCGCAGAUAUCAGGAGGAACACCGAUGGCGAAGGCAGGUCUCUGGGCAGUAACUGACGCUGAGGAGCGAAAGCAUGGGUAGCGAACAGGAUUAGAUA
rnacentral:rRNA from 1 species